rnacentral:lncRNA from 1 species
GUCGACUUGCGCCAGCCCAGAGGCUGGGGAGGCGUCCGAGCCUCCGUCCCGCCUCGUCGUUGAAGAAGGUUAAGGACAAGCGCCAGCUCACCUGCGCUGGGGCAGGGAAGGGCAGAGUGGCCGAGCCCGGGAGGGCGCGACAGGGGCGAGGCGACCCCAGUCCAGAGGCUGACUUCCUCACCGCCCUGGGUCCCAAUCCUGAUCUGGGCUACCCUAUCUGUGCUUCUGGUGAGGUGGGCCCAGAACCAUCGUGUGAAUAAUGAUUGACCUCAGCUAGUGGUUCUCAUGGAGUGAUUGAUUUUGCUUCCCAGAGGACAUCAGCAAUGUCUGGAGACAUUUCCAGUUGUCACUACUUGAGAGGAAGCGUGAUCGGCCUCUAGAAGGGAGAGACCAGGGAUGCCGCUGCUCAAUAUCCUAUAAUGCACAGAACAGCUUCUACGACA